rnacentral:lncRNA from 1 species
CUAUGGAUAUCCACUUGGGAUCAGCCUACAACAGUCCUCUAAAAAUUAAAUUUUUUUCUCUAAGAAAAUUCAGCAUGCUGAAUCUGAACGAAAUCUAGAUCGUGAUCAUCACUUGAUCUCUUUUUUUUAUCUUCUUCUUCUCCUCUUCUCUAGCCUUUUUUUCUUACUUUAUGUUGCUGCUUGACACCAGGAACUAGCAGCUAUUGGGACGUCAAAUGAGAAAAAAAUGGAUAGUUC